UUAAAUUGAAGAGUUUGAUCAUGGCUCAGAUUGAACGCUGGCGGCAGGCCUAACACAUGCAAGUCGAACGGUAACAGAAAGCAGCUUGCUGCUUUGCUGACGAGUGGCGGACGGGUGAGUAAUGUCUGGGAAACUGCCUGAUGGAGGGGGAUAACUACUGGAAACGGUAGCUAAUACCGCAUAACGUCGCAAGACCAAAGAGGGGGACCUUCGGGCCUCUUGCCAUCGGAUGUGCCCAGAUGGGAUUAGCUAGUAGGUGGGGUAACGGCUCACCUAGGCGACGAUCCCUAGCUGGUCUGAGAGGAUGACCAGCCACACUGGAACUGAGACACGGUCCAGACUCCUACGGGAGGCAGCAG
rnacentral:rRNA from 1 species